GCUCCUUUGACGUUAGCGGCGGACGGGUGAGUAACACGUGGGUAACCUACCUAUAAGACUGGGAUAACUUCGGGAAACCGGAGCUAAUACCGGAUAAUAUUUCGAACCGCAUGGUUCGAUAGUGAAAGAUGGUUUUGCUAUCACUUAUAGAUGGACCCGCGCCGUAUUAGCUAGUUGGUAAGGUAACGGCUUACCAAGGCGACGAUACGUAGCCGACCUGAGAGGGUGAUCGGCCACACUGGAACUGAGACACGGUCCAGACUCCUACGGGAGGCAGCAGUAGGGAAUCUUCCGCAAUGGGCGAAAGCCUGACGGAGCAACGCCGCGUGAGUGAUGAAGGUCUUCGGAUCGUAAAACUCUGUUAUUAGGGAAGAACAUACGUGUAAGUAACUGUGCACGUCUUGACGGUACCUAAUCAGAAAGCCACGGCUAACUACGUGCCAGCAGCCGCGGUAAUACGUAGGUGGCAAGCGUUAUCCGGAAUUAUUGGGCGUAAAGCGCGCGUAGGCGGUUUUUUAAGUCUGAUGUGAAAGCCCACGGCUCAACCGUGGAGGGUCAUUGGAAACUGGAAAACUUGAGUGCAGAAGAGGAAAGUGGA
rnacentral:rRNA from 1 species